rnacentral:rRNA from 1 species
UAAGGAAUAUUGGUCAAUGGGGGCAACCCUGAACCAGCCAUGCCGCGUGCAGGAAGACAGCCCUAUGGGUCGUAAACUGCUUUUGUACGGGAACAAACCUCUCCUCGUGAGGAGAGCUGAGCGUACCGUAAGAAUAAGGAUCGGCUAACUCCGUGCCAGCAGCCGCGGUAAUACGGAGGAUCCGAGCGUUAUCCGGAUUUAUUGGGUUUAAAGGGAGCGUAGGCGGCCCGUUAAGUCAGGGGUGAAAGACGGUGGCUCAACCAUCGCAGUGCCUUUGAUACUGACGGGCUUGAAUACACUUGAGGUAGGCGGAAUGUGACAAGUAGCGGUGAAAUGCAUAGAUAUGUCACAGAACACCGAUUGCGAAGGCAGCUUACUAAAGUGUGAUUGACGCUGAGGCUCGAAAGCGUGGGGAUCAAACA